GUCCGGUUAGCUCAAUUGGUAGAGCGUGAGACUCAAAAUGCCACCUGUUGUCAUCAUGGAUGUGGGUGAGUAAACUAUACGUACCUAGGUAAGGUGAACUGACGAGCUGACUGACUUUGAAUAGGUUCGAUCCCCGCACUGGGCC